UUCCUGGUGGUCCAGUGGUUAGGGCUCUGCACUUCCACUGCAGGGGGCACAGGUUCAAUCCCUGGUUGUGAAA
rnacentral:tRNA from 1 species